GAUGAACGCUGGCGGCGUGCCUAAUACAUGCAAGUCGAGCGAACGGACGAGAAGCUUGCUUCUCUGAUGUUAGCGGCGGACGGGUGAGUAACACGUGGAUAACCUACCUAUAAGACUGGGAUAACUUCGGGAAACCGGAGCUAAUACCGGAUGAUAUUUUGAACCGCAUGGUUCAAAAGUGAAAGACGGUCUUGCUGUCACUUAUAGAUGGAUCCGCGCUGCAUUAGCUAGUUGGUAAGGUAACGGCUUACCAAGGCAACGAUGCAUAGCCGACCUGAGAGGGUGAUCGGCCACACUGGAACUGAGACACGGUCCAGACUCCUACGGGAGGCAGCAGUAGGGAAUCGUCCGCCAUGGGCGAAAGCCUGACGGAGCAACGCCGAGUGAGUGAUGAAGGUCUCCGGAUCGUAACACUCUGUUAUUAGGGAAGAACAUAUGUGUAAGUAACUGUGCACAUCUUGACGGUACCUAAUCAGAAAGCCACGGCUAACUACGUG
rnacentral:rRNA from 1 species